GCUGUGGCUGAAGGUCACAUCUCCUUGUCUCUCUGUGAAUGUCACUUUCCCUGUGCCUCACGAAGCUGCCUGGACCUGUGCAGGCCACCUCCAGGAUCAUCUGAAGCUCCAUGCUGAGACCUGAUAAACUGUCCUACCAGCUGUCACCAGUGACUUCUUCUUGUGGCAUGAGAGGGAUGGAGAGAGCUUCUUGGACAGAGAGCUCCCUGGAUGUCUAUUCAGAAGGACACAGUUUCUAUGGAAUGAGCCUCACCUGGAUGACCUUGUUUAACCUCCAUUCCUUCUUACAGACCACUUCUGCAAACAAAUCAACAAUGAGGGUCAGAGUCUGCUCCCAAGGAGGCUUCCUGGAGUCCCUUCUUUGUUCCUGAUGGAGCUCAUUCUAUUGAUUCCAUCACCAGAAGGAUUCUGUAGAGAACAGAAAAUGAUCCCUCCUCUGAUGCAGACAUAAAUUGAAGACACAAUAUUAACAGACCAUUUUAUAUUCAGAAGAGGAAAUAGUCCUACGAUUGUAAGGGCUGGACACUGUGAUCCAGGUGAGAUGCCACAGGUGUGGAUUUACAAAGGCUCCUGAGGGCUGCAGAGCAUACUGUCAGAGGUGGCUGGAACCCUGUUCUCCUGGUCUAGAUCUGUCCAUGCAGCCCCCUUCCUACCAUCCCAGAACCCUUCCAGAGGAGAACUCUGGACCACAGCAGCUAUAACACUGAGGAAGGACAGGCUGGGCAUCCAGUCUCAGAGCACUACCACAGAGAGCUUCUUCCCACAGCUCUCCAUUGGCUGUGGAGGUUUGUAUUCUGAGCUGCAGCUACAUGAAACACCUUGUUAAUCUUUUAGACCAACACUGGCUAACAGAAUCUCCUGUCAUGAUGAAGAAAUUUGCAUCUGAGCUGUCCCCUGUGGCAGCUGUUAGCCUGGAAGAUUCAACACGGGAAAGAACUAAGUGCAAAGGAAAUAUUCUUUGUAAAAUUUAACUGAAUCUGAGUUUAUAGAGUCACUGUGGUUAGUGUGCUCUGUGUGAGACAGCACAGUUCUAAAAGCAGCAUCAGCACAAUCUCUGUGGCCAGCAGGAUGCUAAUUGACAGGCACACUGUCUGCCCCAUGCCAUGGCAAUAGUGAUGGACAGUGACAUCCUCAGCCUACAAGCUGCUGUGUCAAAGUUGAUGUCACAGUCAGACCCAUGGUAUGUGAACCACAGGGAAUCCUAGGAGUAAAUGGAAACCUGGUGAGCCAGGCUGUCCCAAGGUCUGUUGGACACUGUCCAAGUACAUUUCCCAUCUGUAUCUGCUACUGUGAGCACCAGGUGUCCCCUCAGGACCAUGAGCGAAAGACCACCAGGGUGGUGCUGAUGGGAGGUGCUGUGGAACUUGAGGAAGGGACCUUGGUGACCCCAAUCUCUUUGUCUUCCUGCUCUGUCUUUGUUUUCUGGUUUCUGAGGUAAGUUAUGGGCUUUCUUUCACAACCUCCCAUGGUAUGCUGUCUCUGCUUAGGGGUCACGAUAGUGGGGCCAUCUGGCCUUGAACAGGAACCUCCAGAAAUGGAGCCAGAUGAACCUAUCCUACUUGUAAGUUAAUUGCUGUGGUGUUUCAUUAUACUAAGGUAAAAUGAAGUGCAGCAUAACUGGUGAAACUCAGGGAGAAGGGGCAGGAGCUCUGGAGAUUCUUGUGGACACAGCCUCGAAGCUGUGAACUAUAGGACUUCUGUCUCUGCCCUGUCCCUGCCUGCCUUUGCAGAUAUCCUCAGAGAGGGAAGCGGGAGGACUCCCUUUUCCAGCAUC